GCACCUUAUUUCUCCCCUCCGCAUGGAACAUGAUAUCCUACCAGCAGAUUUUGAUACUCGACAAUCCAAUAAAUGUCAAAUCACUAUGCAUGAUUCAGAAUGACAAUAAGUAAAUUGAACAAAGAACUAAUCUUAUAUGCGGAACUAGUCCCCAACUUGUGCUCAGAAUCCUCUGACUUCAUUUCUUUCUUUGUUUCGGUUAGUGAUCCCCCCAACUCCCAUUUUUAUUGAUUCAUUUGGUCUUCUGUGAAUUUUCUUCCACCUCUCUUUGAGUUUCAUGGACUAUGUCAGUCACCGGGCUUAUGGGAUUCUCAUCAUCCAUGGAUUGAGUGUCGUUACUAUUGUUGCUUAUGGUAGAUGAUAUUGAGGUUUAGCCAUUCACAGAUUCCAUUAAUGCAAAUACCAUUACUAAAAGAAUUCAACAAGUUGAUAGAACCAAAAUUCAAUCUAAAUCAUGGGAAAAUAUAGAUAAUAAAAAUUCAAUGCCAAAUAAUACGUUCAAUAAGUUGCCUUGUCACAUGGGCAUUCUUUCCAUCUGAAACAUACAAAUAAUUUGAUGUGAUUAAAAAAUUCUUCUAUCAAUAUAAUCACUUGUAACAAAUGAAAUAUGCAUCGAAGAUUUGAAGUGAUUUAAAAUAAAAAAUCCCCUUUUCAACACGUGAAAUCCUUAUAUUUUUCUGUUAUUUAUCCAGUAAAGCCUGGCCAUUUGCAUGACACAACCUUUCAUAACUCAUUUAUGACAGGUAACAUUUGCCAAGGUCAAUGGUAGGAUCAAUAUACUUCUAUCAUAUAUUUGAAGUACAAUGGAUGCCAACCUCUUUUCACAAGUUACAUUUGAUUCACCAAUGGCAAGGAAACUACAACCUGGAGAUGUAAUUGAUUUCAGUUCCCGGAAACAAAAUAGAAAAGGCUAGUAGGAGUACCAAAGCUAAAGUUCCAACUCAAUAAAGAGAAUCAUUAAUAACUGCAGUAUAAAAUACCUAGCACUUCCCAGUUUACAAUUACUAUAUACGAUGUUUAGGUGGGCUUAUAUAAGCUUGCUUAGUUCACUCAUAAGGCGGAGACAAAAUCAUUUUUGUUGAUGAGAGAACAACAUCUUUUAUGUUAUUCUAAAUAAGUAAUCUUAGUUUCAAAACAUUUUCACUGGUAUAUCUAGUUUGGGUUUUAAAUUCCAAAUCAUAUAAAACUCAAAAUAUAUAGAUAAAAAGAUGGUUCAUACUUCAGCAUUCAGAUUGAUCCCACCAUAAUUGACGACUUUGUCGGUAACUCUAGAAACCAUGGUAGAAGAAUCACAAUAUUAGAUAUAUGAGAAAAAGUAUAUGCCAUUCUAUUGAUUAAAGACGUACUACCAAAGGCGCCAAGGAGAAACUCACUCAGCCAAUUUAUCAAUCUGAGCUCCCCAAUUACCUCUGCCAGCUCCUCCACGUUUUACCUGAUUUGUGCAAUGGAAUAUAAAUGUCUAAGGAUUGCAAAGACAAAAGAGAG
rnacentral:lncRNA from 1 species